rnacentral:snRNA from 1 species
GUGCUCACUUCAGCAGUGCAAUAAUUAGAACAAUACGGAGAAGAUUAGCAUGGUCCCUGCACAAGGAUGACAUGCAAAUUCAUGAAGUGUUCCAUAUAAAC